GACCCCGCUUGGCGCCUCCUCGCCUUCGCAACUUUCUCUGUCUCGUCCACGUGCUUACGAUACCUGCCGGCAACGCGAGGGGGGCGAGGGAAGGCAUAAUAUAGGUUAGCCUAAUGCCACACGCAUCAGCGUCUUUGAGACGCGCGGGGGAAAAGAAAAACCUCCCGCGGAACCCAGCGCGCUGCCAUUCCGCUCGAAGACACCACCGUAUGCGGUGAGAUCCUCCCGGCGAGCCGAGUGAAGUCGCCGCGACCUGUGUAGUGCGGACUGGAUAACGCCAGUGAAGCGCGGCGUCAAAACCUUCGGCGACUGCGGAAUCCGGAGCAGUGGACUUGCGUUGACUUUCGCUCUUGUCCUUAGGAACGCGAUGGUCUGGAACAAAUACCUCAUCCUUUUUUUCAUCAUCCUGUUCUUGCUGAUGUUGGUGCACUUUGCGGAGCCGCAUCACCACCACCACCAUUUGUGGUACAUCAAGCACAAGCUUAAGAAGCUUCUCGUCCUCAAGCACCUGAAACACCUGAAGAAACUUCACAUACUGCACCACCACGGUUAAGCCGUUCCUCCGGGAAACCAAGGCAUGUGAAAAGCUUCGUCACGACCUUCACUUCAUCACCACCGGCGUCCGCUAUCACGGUGCCAACCGCGGACAGACCGCGGCACGCGGACGAUCAUCACCUUCCUGAGGAAUUCGUGAAUCAUGACUCCUUCAUAAAAACCCACACACUUCCUCCUCCUUGAUUAAAUAUUACUCACCCCGUACACAAA
rnacentral:lncRNA from 1 species